rnacentral:rRNA from 1 species
UACGGAGGGGGCUAGCGUUGUUCGGAAUUACUGGGCGUAAAGCGCACGUAGGCGGCUUUGUAAGUUAGAGGUGAAAGCCCGGGGCUCAACUCCGGAAUUGCCUUUAAGACUGCAUCGCUAGAAUUGUGGAGAGGUAAGUGGAAUUCCGAGUGUAGAGGUGAAAUUCGUAGAUAUUCGGAAGAACACCAAUUGCGAAGGCAGGUUACUAAGCAACAACUGACGCUGAUGGACGAAAGCGUGGGGAGCGAACAGG